rnacentral:lncRNA from 1 species
CCCAGCUUCAUCCUGCUCCUGUUCAUCCUGGUUUCCAGCUUGAUCCUUGCAGGAACGGUUCUUGCUUACUACAUCAGGCGCCGGAUCCUGCAUGCCCAGCUGAUGAAGGGGCCCAACAAGAUCAUUCUGACCAUGGACGACUUGACGUUCAUCCACACCCAGAGCAGCAACAAAAAGAUGGACGAUAGCCGCACGAGCCUGGCGGGGAAGAGCGUCUCCGACAUGAGGAGCUUCAGAAGCCUGGCAGCCGCCCCCGACAACACCAACGUGGCUGUCGCUGAGGUAACC